AAUAAAUUGAAAAAUUAUAUGAAAUAUGUACAAAUUGCCCGUCAUUUUCAUAAAAUAAUAGUUGGAAGAAGUCGUAACAAAUUAAGUGUACAGGAAUGUGUACUUAGGUUAAUUAAAAAAUUAAG